rnacentral:rRNA from 1 species
UACGGAGGAUGCGAGCGUUAUCCGGAUUUAUUGGGUUUAAAGGGUGCGUAGGCGGAUUUUUAAGUCAGCGGUAAAAUGUCCGGGCUCAACCCGGGCCGGCCGUUGAAACUGGGGAUCUUGAGUGGGCGAGAAGUAUGCGGAAUGCGUGGUGUAGCGGUGAAAUGCAUAGAUAUCACGCAGAACUCCGAUUGCGAAGGCAGCAUGCCGGCUUCCGACUGACGCUGAAGCACGAAAGCGUGGGGAUCGAACAGG